CGGACGGGUGAGUAACACGUGGAUAACCUACCUAUAAGACUGGGAUAACUUCGGGAAACCGGAGCUAAUACCGGAUAAUAUUUUGAACCGCAUGGUUCAAAAGUGAAAGACGGUCUUGCUGUCACUUAUAGAUGGAUCCGCGCUGCAUUAGCUAGUUGGUAAGGUAACGGCUUACCAAGGCAACGAUGCAUAGCCGACCUGAGAGGGUGAUCGGCACACUGGAACUGAGACACGGUCCAG
rnacentral:rRNA from 1 species